rnacentral:rRNA from 1 species
CGGCAACAGCUCAAAUUUGAAAUCUGGCCCUCGGGUCCGAAUUGUAAUUUGUAGAGGAUGCUUUUGGUGAGGUACCUUCCGAGUUCCCUGGAACGGGACGCCAUAGAGGGUGAGAGUCCCGUCU